GUGGGGAAUCUUGCGCAAUGGGCGAAAGCCUGACGCAGCCAUGCCGCGUGAAUGAUGAAGGUCUUAGGAUUGUAAAAUUCUUUCACCGGGGACGAUAAUGACGGUACCCGGAGAAGAAGCCCCGGCUAACUUCGUGCCAGCAGCCGCGGUAAUACGAAGGGGGCUAGCGUUGCUCGGAAUUACUGGGCGUAAAGGGCGCGUAGGCGGACAGUUUAGUCAGAGGUGAAAGCCCAGGGCUCAACCUUGGAAUUGCCUUUGAUACUGGCUGUCUUGAGUACGGGAGAGGUGAGUGGAACUCCGAGUGUAGAGGUGAAAUUCGUAGAUAUUCGGAAGAACACCAGUGGCGAAGGCGACUCACUGGCCCGUUACUGACGCUGAGGCGCGAAAGCGUGGGGAGCAAACAGGAUUAGAUACCUCAGUAGUCC
rnacentral:rRNA from 1 species